CAAUUUACACAAUCGAAACUCAACAUGGUGUUACCAGAUCUCGCUAUGUUAUGCUGAUUUCGGUACUAAAAACACAGAAACUCAAAUUCAAGGCUAGUGAAAACAAGCAAUGACUGUCUAAAGUACAAGAAUUCCAGUCAAUUCAAAUUACAAAAGCAACUAACACAAUAAUAUAAAACACUAGCCACUAGCACCCGCCUGCAAUGUUUAACCAAAACAACUA
rnacentral:lncRNA from 1 species